CCCCCGGCCUGGCCAUGGCCCCAGCCUCGGCGCCCCGCGGGCAUCCUCAGGCCUGGCCGCGGGCACCCCAGUUCCCCUUCCUCACCUAAAAUUCUCGCUGCGCCCCUCCCUCCCUGGGACUAGGAGCCGCAUCCAGCCUGCGGUCCCGUCACCAGACCUGGGUGGAGCGCGGUCUUCCCCCGCCCCCGGCCAGGGCUCCAGCGCCCCCAGUCCUAGCUCCCCUCUUUUGUAUCCCCCUUUAAUCCCCCUCCCCCCAUUUAACCCAACUUCAGCCCCGGCGCUGCGCCCCCCUUCCCUGGCCCGGCUCGAUUGGCCGCUUCCGGAGCUGUCAGACUACAGUCCGGCGCUCUUAUUGGGCGAUUCUCUGGCCCGGCGGCUGUGCCAAAGGAGGGCGCACCGGGUGGGGGGCGCCUGGGCAGCGAGUGCCUCAAGGAGAAGGAGAACAGAGUCCCUGGAGGGGUCUCAGGGGCCGGAGAGCCAGACCCGGAAAUGGACAGGGGAGAUGCAGAAACAGGACUUCUGAGACGCAGGAAGACAGUGAUGGAAAAGAUGAGCUUCUGACAGGGAGCCUAGAGGUCUAAGUGAGCUUCCUUCUUUGUCUCUCUCUGCUGGUCAUCUCUGCAGACUGGAAGAUAAACCUUGCCAGAGUUACAAAUUGGGAGGAGAAAAAUUCCAAGAGGUCAGAAUAAACUAACCCUUGGGUAAUCCAGCCUUUGAGUAUUCCACUAUUAGCCAAGUUGUAAAAAAAAACAUGAAUUUAGUCAAUAAAAAUUCUAGAGAACCC
rnacentral:lncRNA from 1 species